GAUGAAGAACGCAGUGAAAUGCGAUACGUAAUGUGAAUUGCAGAAUUCAGUGAAUCAUCGAAUCUUUGAACGCAUAUUGCGCUCUCUGGUAUUCCGGAGAGCAUGCUUGUUUGAGUAUCAGUAAACACCUCAACUCCCUUUUCUUUUUUGAAAUGGGAGCUGGACUUGAGUGAUCCCAACACUUUUCUCACUGGAAAGUGGCGGGUCACUUGAAAUGCAGGUGCAGCUGGACUUUUCUCUGAGCUAUAAGCAUAUCUAUUUAGUCUGCCUAAAAAACAGAUUAUUACCUUUGCUGCAGCUAACAUAAAGGAGAUUAGUUCUUGUGCUGACUGAUGCAGGAUUCACAAAGACAGGCUUCGGCCGACUUUGUAAACUCGAUCUCAAAUCAAGUAAGACUACCCGCUGAACUUAAGCAUAUCAAUAAGCGGAGGA
rnacentral:misc_RNA from 1 species